GUGUCACGCUUGAUUGAUGUUUCAAACAACAAAGAUGUCAUUCUUGGUUAUGUAGUAGUGAUCAUGCAGCAGCAUAUAAAGCACAUAUGUUUCAGGUGACUCUAACUUUAAUUAUUAGCUAACUCUAACUCGGUUGCUGCAACUGAGAAAGGGAAUGUUGUUAAGGCUCUAUUCAUGAGCACGAUGCCAAAAAAGAGCCGGUCAAGGGGUUGGUGUCCGAGGUCUGUUCGAAGCUGAACUUGGUGUGCAGGGAGGUGUCGAGCAGAUACAUGUUUCAGAGGAAGAAUACAAAGACUACUAAGAAGGGUGAAGAGACCAUGGAGGCCAGGAUCAAAGAUAUAACAUGUAGUCGAGGUCUGUUCGAAGCUGAACUUGGCGUGCCUGGAGGUGCCGAGCAGAUAAUGUCUCAGCUGAAGAAUAAAAAGACUACCAAGAAGGGUGAAGAGACCACGGUGACCAAGAUCAAAGACAUAACAUGCAGUCCCAAAACAAAAAUGAUAACAAACGAGCCUCCGUGGACAUACUUCUCAAGGCGUCUGUGUUCUUGGAGUGUGCUAUGGAGUUGCAGAAAGUCUGUAAGGCUGUAACACUCAUACAAGAGACCCUGUUUGAGAAAACAAACACUCAUAUUUUAUCGAAUAUUUUGUACGCCGUUGCAACGUACGAGCACAUUCCUAGUAUUUCAUCUAAUUCUAUUGGUUAUUUAUAUGCAACAUUUAAGUCACAUGUUAUCCUAUGAAAUUGUAUCACAAAACUCUCUAUUGAGAAAACAUAUUUUUAUUAAUUUAUUCUUUA